UUAUUUUUUUAAUAUUCUAUAUUAUUUGUAUUGGUAUCUAGGCUAUACCUUUCUACCUUUUGGUAUUAUGCAUACCCAGAGUCACGUGUUAUUUGUAAGUUUCCAGCCGCCAUUUUUGGAAUUUUGAAGCGAUCAGAAGAAAGAAAUCUGUGAUUUAUUUGCCACAAAAGCAUGUAUUGCUCAACUCAUGGACUGCAGUUUUUGGCAAUUUUCAACAAUGGAAGAAAACUUGAAACAGAAACCAAGAUACAGAUAUCAGCAGUUAAUGUAUAAUGUACAGAUGCCCUUAAACAUGUUAAAGUGUUUGAUGAAGUAAAGAGCAAGAUACUAUCCCAUUUAGCAGCGAUACUGCAUGACUUUAAUUCCCAGACAAUAUGACAAAGAAUACCGAUUGGCAUGAUUGGACACCAAUAUAUAGUUCACACAUGAGAAUUACUGAGAAGAUGUUUUCAGGGUAAACCACAUUGCACUGAAAUUAUUCAAAUAAUUUAAAGAUAUUAAGCAAAUAUUUAAAGAAAUUGUCUGUCUUCCAAUUACACAGAAGUCAACAACUAUAGGUCACUGUAAGCCUUUAACAAAGAGCAAAACUAACACCACAUAGUCAGCUGUAAAAAGACCCAAAAUAAAAAAUGUAAAACAAUUCAAACGAGAAAACUAAUGGCCCUAUUUAUGUAAAAAAUAAUAUGUAACUCAGCAACAAACAACAAUUACUGAAUUACAGGUUCUUGACAUGGGACAGGCACAUACAGAAUGUGCAGGGUUAAACUUGUUUGAAGGUGCCAUUCUCCUUCCCCUAACCGGGAACAGCGCUGAACAUUAUUAAGAGUCAUUAUAACAACAAACUAUAAAAAUCAAUUGAAAAAUGCUUAAUAGCUCAUCUCAUCGGAUAUGAAUAGGAAUACAUCUAAAAAGAACCAAAAAAACUAGAAAACUAACAGCCUAAAGUUAUUAAUGAAUGAAAAACAAAUAUUUAACACAGCAACAAGAGACAACCACUGAAUUACAGGCACAUACACUAAGGAUAGAUCUGUUACUGACAGCUGGUUCAUGUAGUUCAAAGCCAAUAAUAAUUAAUAAAAUUCAUGCAUCUAAGACUAAAUAAUUAAUCAAUACACCUGCAAUGUUCAGCCACUGGAUUUAGUGAUAAGGCGUCAUAAACAGUCAGAGAAAAACAUGACCAUGUGCAAUGCCAAGAUACAGGUAUUGACAGAAUUGUAGAUCCCUGAAUGUGCAUAUGUAAACAACUACAAUUAUAGUUUGUUUUUAAUUUACAGAUAACAAAUCAAUAACAAUACCAAAAAAAAACCAGUAUUCAAAGAUCUAAUAACUAAUUAUUGUGUUGAUUUAAUAACCUUUUCGAAUAAAUUAAUUUAAAAGAUAGAUAUAGUCUUUUCUAUACUUCUGGGCUCAAAAAGCAACAUGUGAUCAAUAUAUACAUUUGUUGUUUUUUUUCAUAUGAGGCAGACUUCAUACAUGUACAGGAGCUUCUUUGGAGGUUUGAAAAGAAGCAUUAUCCUAGACUUCACAAUUUGCUAUAAAGAUCCUCUUAUUGAAUAAUUCAAAGUAUGGUAACUUUGUUGAAUGCAUGUAUCCUAUUGAACUUGAAAUAAAGGAUACAACAGAUACAGAUGAAUCAUUGCUGGGUCCUUGAAAACCCUACUGGAACUUCUUCUGAUACUGGAAAUUGAAAACAACUGCUCAUUUUGGAAGAAAAUUAACAGAGGAAAGAUACAGAUAUGCAAGAAUUUAAUAUUUGAAAUGCACUUAAUAUUUCUUUUGUAUAUGGCACCUAUUUUUGACUGUCAAAUAAUGGUAUUGUUGUUAUCUUUGCCAUAUAAACAAAUAUACCUGAUCAAAUUUGUUCAUUAGUAGAAACUUAGAUUUCAAAUAUCUAUUCACAUAAGGUGAUUUUUUUCACAAUUUUUUCUUAUUUUAAAAAUAAAACUAUUUUGAUUUGUCUGAAGUUCAUUUCAUAAAAAUUUCAAAUUCUAAAUGAGACCUGAUUUAGCGCAUACUCCAUCACAAAUUGAGAUAACGUUAGUAUUGUUUUUGGAGUAUCCAUUAUUCUAAUACGGCCAACGUAUUGACAGGUCUUCAUAUUAGUGUGUCCAGCAUAUCAUUGAUUCAAGAACAGUAAAUAGUGAAAAUUAACAUAAAUAUUUAAAAAAAAUUAUUUUGGUUUAACAUUAUUUUUUUUCACAGUUGUGCAUCAUAAUUUUUUCAAAUGUCUUCUUAUAACAGGAUUUUAACAAAAACUUAUACAGAUGUAUUAAGAUAGUUCAAAAUGAUUGACAAAUUUUUAAACUUGUAUUAGGAAGUCAGAAAAAAUUGAUAAAUACUAUAGGCCUUAUAUGUAUUCCAUAGGACAGAUUUCAUUUUUGUCCAUAUUUGUAUAAAUGUUGCACCUUUAUUUUAUCUUUUUGUAGAUUUGUAUGUGGCUCCACUCAUCACCUAUUGACUUGUUGGUUAUAUUUAUAUAUAUAUGAAUAUUUAGCAAAUAAUGGUGGAAAUCUGAUUUUUUUUAGAAUACAGUCAUGAAUUUUGCGAAAUAAUGCAAAAAUUAAUGUUUUAACCAAAUCCACCUACAUUUAUGAUGAUGCAAAUACAUCAAAUACAGAAAAACUUUUUUGAAAUGAUGGUUGUAAAAUAU